UCAGAAGAAAAACGAUUGUCAUCCCAAAGC
rnacentral:piRNA from 1 species